GGACAACCUGCCCUCGGGAGGGGGAUAACCCCGGGAAACUGGGGCUAAACCCCCAUAGGUGAUGGAUACUGGAAUGUUCCAUCACCGAAAGUCCGCAAGGAGCCCGAGGAUGGGUCUGCGGCGGAUUAGGUAGUUGGUGGGGUAACGGCCCACCAAGCCUAAGAUCCGUACGGGCCAUGGGAGUGGGAGCCCGGAGAUGGACCCUGAGACAAGGGUCCAGGCCCUACGGGGCGCAGCAGGCGCGAAACCUCCGCAAUGCGGGAAACCGCGACGGGGUCAGCCGGAGUGCCGAUGCUUGCAUCGGCUGUCGGGGAGCCUAAAAAGCUCCCCAUAGCAAGGGCCGGGCAAGGCCGGUGGCAGCCGCCGCGGUAAUACCGGCGGCCCGAGUGGCGGCCACUAUUAUUGGGCUUAAAGCGUCCGUAGCCGGGUUGGUUAGUCUCCCGGGAAAUCUGGCCGCUUAACGGUCAGAAUUCCGGGAGAUACUGCCAGCCUAGGGACCGGGAGAGGCCGAGGGUAUUCCCGGGGUAGGGGUGAAAUCCUAUAAUCCCGGGAGGACCACCUGUGGCGAAGGCGCACGGCUGGAACGGGUCCGACGGUGAGGGACGAAGGCCAGGGGAGCAAACCGGAUUAGAUACCCGGGUAGUCCUGGCUGUAAACGAUGCGGACUUUGUGUCGGACAAGCUAUGAGCUUGUCCGGUGCCGGAGGGAAACCGUUA
rnacentral:rRNA from 1 species